rnacentral:rRNA from 1 species
GACAGAGGGUGCAAACGUUGUUCGGACUUACUGGGCGUAAAGCGCGUGUAGGCGGCUAUGUAAGUCGGGCGUGAAAUCCCACGGCUCAACCGUGGAAGUGCACCCGAAACUGCGUAGCUAGAGUCCUGGAGAGGAAGGUGGAAUGCUUGGUGUAGAGGUGAAAUUCGUAGAUAUCAAGCGGAACACCGGUGGCGAAGGCGGCCUUCUAGACAGUGACUGACGCUGAGACGCGAAAGCGUGGGGAGCAAACAGG